rnacentral:lncRNA from 1 species
AUAAAAGAAUAUAAUUGAGUUGUUUGUAACACAACGAAUGAAUAAAUGUUUGAGGUGUUGGAUACCCCAUUUACCCUCAUGUACUAUUACACGUUGUAUGCCUGUAUCAAUGUAUCUCAUGUGCUUUCUAAAUAAAUAUACCUACUAUGUACCCACAAAUAUUAAAAAUUAAAAAAAUAUAUUAUUUUAUGACUUAAUAUUAAGAGACAAAUUCUUACUUUUAAGAGGACUAAAAAUCAGAAGGUUUUCAAUCACCAAGUACAAACCAAAUAAAAAAUAUAGUUACAAGCACUGGGGCAGCACUGGCUUAAUUUAUUAGCUUGAAUGGCUGUUUGUCAACCUUAGUGUUCUGCGUUAGAGAAAAUGUGCCAAUCAUCACAGAUGUCUUUACAAUGAAUAUGAGUUCACCACUUUUAGUGAUUAGAUUUUAGAGAGUAACAUCCAAAACAGUGAAUAAUAAAUGAAAAAUAUACUUCAGGCUUAUCACCUUUUCAAAAUAAAAAAUCAAUGUGGGUGGAGUACAAAACUGAUAAUAUUUAAUACCUAUACAUAAAAUGCCUUUGGUGCUAUGUAUAUUGAUUGUAAUGUUUAUGAAACUGCCUUUGCAAUCUAGGACUUUCACAGCUAGGAAGAAGUCAAUGUC